UAGGGAAUCUUCGGCAAUGGACGAAAGUCUGACCGAGCAACGCUGCGUGAGUGAAGAAGGUUUUCGGAUCGUAAAACUCUGUUGUUAGAGAAGAACAAGGACGUUAGUAACUGAACGUCCCCUGACGGUAUCUAACCAGAAAGCCACGGCUAACUACGUGCCAGCAGCCGCGGUAAUACGUAGGUGGCAAGCGUUGUCCGGAUUUAUUGGGCGUAAAGCGAGCGCAGGCGGUUUCUUAAGUCUGAUGUGAAAGCCCCCGGCUCAACCGGGGAGGGUCAUUGGAAACUGGGAGACUUGAGUGCAGAAGAGGAGAGUGGAAUUCCAUGUGUAGCGGUGAAAUGCGUAGAUAUAUGGAGGAACACCAGGGGCGAAGGCGGCUCUCUGGUCUGUAACUGACGCUGAGGCUCGAAAGCGUGGGGAGCAAACAGG
rnacentral:rRNA from 1 species